UGUCUGUCUGUCUAGAUAGCUAGCUGUCUGACAAUCUCAUUUGUACACAUUGAUUAUCGAAUACUACUGGAAUCAGUAUAUUUACAGUAAUUAUGAAAUGCAACUAAAUCAUAAAAAAUAGCUAAUAAAAAACUACAGUAAAGUAAAACUUCAACUACAUCGCUGCUUCAGCUUCUUAACUGGCUUAAUGUAAAAGGCUAAAUAAAGGAUUGAUAACUGUAAACAUCUGAAAACAUGGUUUGGAAAAUAGGUACAAGGGACCAUAAACUGUCUGAAAAAGAGAUGAGGAAAUAUUAUCUCCAUAGAUAAUCUAAUCUAAUGUUCCACCUAAUACAUUUUAUGUGGAAUAUACAUAAACAUGGAAUAUUGUUGGCCAGUUUCCAUAAAACUAAGCAUUAUAAAGUAGUUGUUUCAAAUGAUAGUUAGAUCAUUGCAAUAAAAUGAAUAACAGCCAUCUUAGAUGUGUAAAUUGCAUUUUGAAACGGUAAUACUUGGAUGUUGUGUUGUCAACAGUUGAUUUUGGUUCAAUAAACAAAGUAUCUCUGCUUUAUGUGCAUAUAUUAGAAAAAAUGACAUGUUGCAUUGGUGCCAAGGUGAUUGUGUAAUAGAUAACUGAAAUAGAUACAUGUCAUAGAUAUAGGGACAUUAUUAUUCAAAAAUGCUUUUAUACAAAAUAAUAAAAUGGUAUUAGUCCAUUGCAAAUCUUUAUAACACCUUAGUAGAGGCCAAUUCUCUCUCAUUAUUAUUAAUAGUAGUAGUAGUAGUACUUAUAAAGCAAAUAUUCUGUCAGAGCAUAUUCUACAUCCCUAAACUUUACAGCUACCUUACUAACUAUGAAUAAGCAGCAAAUUAGGAGUUUGAGGCAAAUGUUGCAAUUAAUGGUUUAUUAAUAGCAAAAAUUGGACCUUAAAAUAAAGUGUGUCAAAAAUCUCAUUAAUAAAAACCAGUAACAAUUCACUGUUCCUUUUGUGACAGAUUUUUUAUGUCAGUAAAAUCAAGCAGUUCUGAAUGCCCACCUCGGGCUUUCUAGGGUUUUUGAUGAAGAACUUGUUUCCAAAGGCAACAGCUAAGUCAUUUGUGGGAAAGGAGCAACAGUUAAUUGAAUAAACGCGCAUUUAGUAAAUGAACUGGAAUCUCUAAACUGGCAGUAGCAUGUUGGAUCAGUAGCACACCAAAACAAACAUUCAUUCAUACAGGCCAUCCAAACAGUCUUGAUGUUUGAACAAACUGGAUGGAAAAACCCAUGAAAAAAAUUACAAUCAUUCUUGACAUGUUGACUUUACUGGCAAAUAUUCGCAGAAAACCAGAAAUGCUAAUGCUAAAUGUCAUGAGACUGCAGGUCAGCUUAUACAACACCAUCUACACUCAUAGCUAUGUUACUUGAAUUCAAAGGUUCUGGGACGAAAAAAAAUAAAAAAGGCUAGAGAUUAUUUUCUUGUGCCAGUCGCCAGGUAGGAGACAGUGAGAGGAGCUCCAUAUGCUAGCGGUGAUCUCCAGAGAUUUCAAUUAGAUCCAUCUCUCAGGGUGUUAAAGCCACAGCAAUAUGCUAUCUGGUUACACCAAUUAAGCCACGGUCAGCCUUAUCAUCUGAUCACAAUGCUUUCUACACAGCCAAAAGUGGAGUUUAAAGCCCUUGACUGGAAAGACAUGAGGAAGGUUUUUUUUUUUUUUUUGGAUGAGUAGCUAUAAUGCCAAGCUCUAAAUAAACCUGCUUAUACAACUUGUAGAGCUGUUCAACUUAAACCUUGAAAGUAAUUAUAUGGCUUGCUAUUACGAAGGUGAUCAUCUAGGCUGGAUUACACAUGGGAACAAAAUUAUACAGUACUUUCUGAAGAGAAGCAAUUACACCCCUGGUGAAAUGUUAGUUAUGUUACUAUGUUUUAUUAACCGUCUUAAAGGCAAAGAAGUUGGUCACCACUCAUGCACUGCAUGGAUGUUUCUAAAUUUCCCAUUUAUUUUCUGUGUUUGAUGACAUUAUUACUAACAAAACCUUUGUUUAUUGUAUUAAAUGUUCAGAAGAAGCCUCUGGAGACCUUCCUGUUCCCUUUUCCCAGCAGCUAUUUGUUAAAUGUGUUUAAAGCUUCCAGCAACCAGCUGCACUUCAUGGCUAAAGAUAAAGAAAACCCCAUGCGCAAGGAGUUAAUAAGUCAAACAAGUAAGAGCAUUGUCUACAAUUUCAAGAUGCUCUCGAAGGAAGUAAACAAGCAGACGUGAAAUUAAGAGCCGUCUUCUUUCCCUCCUUCCAUGUGACUGCAGAGGCAUAUGACUUCCAUAACUUCAUCGCUCAUUAACCACCGAUGGUAGGACACAAUUGAGCGAGUGUUUGUGGAACUUGCCCUAGAUAUCCAGAUCUCAGUCCUUGGCUCUGGCUGUUGGGCAGAUCUUCUCCUGUUUCAGAUAUCUUCACCCUGCCUGACAACAGACCGUGAGGAGCUUCACAUGAGAGUCCCGUGUAAGGAGUGAACUAUGGGAUAGAAAGGCCAGUUAUGUCCACUUAAAUCCCUUAACAAGCACCACAGCAAACAAUAGGCAGAUUAGCAUUUACAGUGACGGUAUUAUUAAAUUACCUCAUCUACACAUGAGCCAACAAUUGAGUUACUUUUAUAAAUUUGUGCAGACAGUAUAUGUAAGAACCGCGUAUUCUUUGUUCAUUAAUGAUUUUGUGCACCACAUUUUGUAAGGUCCUGAAUAGAGCUAGCACUGGUUUGACCAAAAAAAAAAAACAUAUUCAGAAGUAUCUUUCAUAUUCCCUAUUAGCAUUAAAGCUAUGCAUGCUAGAUAUUGUCUGGGCUUGUCAUUAUCUCGUUUAAAAAGCAAUGUAUUUAUAAAAUAUAUAAUUAAAAUGUUGAUUAUAUUAUGUUGUGUAUUUUAAAAUAACGCUGAUAACUCUCAAACAAUAAAGUAAAAACGAUCAAAA